rfam:Gossypium hirsutum cultivar TM-1 chromosome 15, whole genome shotgun sequence
AAUCUAUGAUGAGGACACUUAUGAAGUAACUCCUUGAAUCAUUCCCAAGCCUUAUACAAAGACUCAUCAUCCAAUUAUUAGAAAGUUGUGAUCUCGUUCCUCAACUU